rnacentral:rRNA from 1 species
GACGAACGCUGGCGGCGUGCUUAACACAUGCAAGUCGAACGGACGAGUGAGAUAAGUUUACUUAACUCACAAGUUAGUGGCGGACGGGUGAGUAACACGUGGAUAAUCUACCUGCAACACCGGGAUAACGCUGUGAAAACGGUGCUAAUACCGGAUACGUUCCCUUGUGCGCAUGUAUGAGGGAAGAAAGCUCAGGCGGUUGCAGAUGAGUCCGCGGCUGAUUAGCUAGUUGGUGAGGUAAAGGCUCACCAAGGCGAUGAUCUGUAGCUGGUCUGAGAGGACGACCAGCCACACUGGGACUGAGACACGGCCCAGACUCCUACGGGAGGCAGCAGUAGGGAAUAUUGGGCAAUGGGCGAAAGCCUGACCCAGCCAUGCCGCGUGAAGGAAGACGGCCUUAUGGGUUGUAAACUUCUUUACUACGCGAAUAGAGGUUAGUACGAGAUACUAAUAGGAAGGUAGUGUAGUAAAAAAGCACCGGCUAACUCCGUG